UGAAGAGGAGCAGAACGUGUUCAU
rnacentral:miRNA from 1 species